GAGCUGCUGUGAGGACAGUGAAGAGAUACAAGCAAACAAUAAUUAGGUCAACUCGGGUGGUGGAGUUGUCGGAAAAUAUUUCAGUUCAUGCCAUGCAUGUUUGAUGGUAAACAUUGGAUAGAGCCCUAACAAAAUGCAUAGGAAUGUCCAGUGAUCUCCCUACAAAAUGAAAUGGUGCCCUAACGGGACAUAGGGCUGCUGAGCCAAAUGAGCUGAGAUUAUGAUCGGGUUGCAUAAAAUAAGAAAAGAAUUAUAUGACAAUUCCCGGAAUUGAGCAUUGCCUUCCAUGAACUCCAGCCCAACACCUGCCAUGUCUUCUUGUGCAAUAAAUGUUCCAGCAUCA